GAGUGAACGCUGGCGGUAGGCCUAACACAUGCAAGUCGAACGGCAGCACAGUAAGAGCUUGCUCUUACGGGUGGCGAGUGGCGGACGGGUGAGGAAUACAUCGGUAUCUACUUUUUCGUGGGGGAUAACGUAGGGAAACUUACGCUAAUACCGCAUACGACCUACGGGUGAAAGCAGGGGAUCUUCGGACCUUGCGCGAUUGAAUGAGCCGAUGUCGGAUUAGCUAGUUGGCGGGGUAAAGGCCCACCAAGGCGACGAUCCGUAGCUGGUCUGAGAGGAUGAUCAGCCACACUGGAACUGAGACACGGUCCAGACUCCUACGGGAGGCAGCAGUGGGGAAUAUUGGACAAUGGGCGCAAGCCUGAUCCAGCCAUACCGCGUGGGUGAAGAAGGCCUUCGGGUUGUAAAGCCCUUUUGUUGGGAAAGAAAAGCAGCAGGUUAAUACCCCGCUGUUCUGACGGUACCCAAAGAAUAAGCACCGGCUAACUUCGU
rnacentral:rRNA from 1 species